rnacentral:lncRNA from 1 species
CGCGCAGGGGAGGCAGCGGCACCCCGCUGCGGCUCGCCGGCUGCCGGUGCCUCGCGGCGGCGGCGAAGAUGAGGGUGGCUUCUGGCUUUUUUUUUUUCCCCUCCUCAAGAUGAUUUCCAUAGUAACCUGAUCGAGCGGUGCAAUUUCGGAAACUGGGUGUUUUUUCUUUUUUCCUUUUUUUUUCCCGCUCGCUUCCCCCCUCCCUCCCCGCCCCCGAGGAAUGACAUCUGACAGGAGGUGGAUCCUGUAUGAGCUGUGACACGCCGAGCUUCCUCUUGAGGAACAGGGCACUGGCAUGGGAGAGGUUUAUCCACGUAGUCCCUUCCCAAGGCUGCAGAUGAAUGCUCGCUGUCACAAGGCUCUGCUGAGAAGGGAGCGGAAACCAGCUCAUCUCACUCUGCCUCUCAAAUGCAGUUCACAGACAGGAUGUAACCUUAUGUAAGAUGGAAGCCUGUGAAGAAAGAUACAGAUAGCGGUUGGAGUUAAAAGUAGCAGAUGAAUAUUUCUCUUCUUAAGUGUCAGCUUUUUUAGAAUGCUAUGGUGAUUUGGAAAGUCCCCAGAGUGAACUGCAAAGUUUUCCUCAGCUCAAUCGAUGGGUUUUUUAGUUAUUUCUCCAAGUCACUGAUGUUCAGAGAUGGUGUGUGAUGGAAAAAGCACCAUGUCUGUGUGUUUGUAGCCCCUGUUUUUUGGAUUAGUUUGCUGUACUGCUGAACCAAUUUCGUUUUGAAGGGCAAGGAGUGAAUGUGAUGGAUUUAUCUUCAGAAAUGAACAAACAUGGAAGGAAUCCAGUAAGUCACAAGCUAGAAGAUCAAAAGAAGGUAACAUUAUUUUUUAUCAUACUUAAUUAUCUUUGAAUUGUAAAGUCUUUGGUGAUUUUUAGUAAACUGGAAACAAGUGUGCUUUAGACCAUGAAGUAGCCUGCCUUUGAGCUCACACAGUGUAGCAGUACAGUGAACUGCUGUUAUGCRACAUUGUCUAGUAAUUUUGUUUCUAAAACUGCCUGAUUGCCUGGUAAUUUUGUGUCAAACGCUCAA